rnacentral:rRNA from 1 species
UACGGAGGGCGCAAGCGUUGUUCGGAAUUACUGGGCGUAAAGCGCGUGUAGGCGGUCUGGUAAGUCGGUUGUGAAAUCCCCGGGCUCAACCCGGGAACUGCGACCGAAACUGCUGGGCUAGAGUUCCGGAGAGGAAGGCAGAAUUCCCAAUGUAGGGGUGAAAUCCGUAGAUAUUGGGAGGAAUACCAGUGGCGAAGGCGGCCUUCUGGACGGUGACUGACGCUGAGACGCGAAAGCGUGGGGAGCAAACAGG